GCCGGCCACACACACACACACACACACACACACACACACAUGAUCUCCUCUGUGAGCUCGUGUCAGCUACAAGCACGAAAACUUACCUUCCCAACAGCAUUCUGUAGUCCUGGCUACACAUAUUAGAGUUUGUGUUAAAAUUUUACAUCAUAAUUUCUUUACUGUUGUUUUAAAGAAAUACAGUCGUAGCAUUUUAUCACAAGAAUAACAAAAAUUUUGUUAUUAGCUAAAUUGCAUUUGUUAUUAGGGAUGUAACUAUUCAGUCAACUCUAGAUUCUAUUCACAAUUUUAUAAAUUUUUUUAACAAAAUGAGAUUUAAGACAAAUUAUAAAUUAAAUGUUUCCUUUUAUUAUUGCUUGGAUAAAAUACUAUACACUUUGUAAAAUGGAAUAUAACACUAAUUAAUUAAAUACUAAUGUAGCAUGUGCAUAUUAUUGCUCUUUUGUUGGUUUGCUUCUGUUCUCAUUUGUAUGUUGCUUUGCAUAAGUGUUUGCUAAAAAGCAAAAUUUUUAUAUAAUGUAAAUAACAAAAAUUUAAUUUACAUUUUAAAGUGAGCCCCAAGUCAUAAGUGACACAAAUAAAAUAAAUAUCUUCAUAUAAACAAACUAAGAUUUUGUCUGUGCUCUUACAUUUAAAAUAAGAGACAACCACUGUAUUUUAAUCAUGAUCCACACAAAGAUGCGGGUGGAGCUUAAAGUGUUUCCUUGGUAACCGUUGUAAACAAAGCACUUAUGAACACCGCAUCAGGUGGAGCUUAAAGUGUUUCCUUGGUUACCGCUGUAAACAAAGCACCUAUGAACACCGCAACAGGUGGAGCUUAAAGUGUUUCCUCGGUUACCGCUGUAAACAAAGCACUUAUGAACACCGCAGCAGGUGGAGCUUAAAGUGUUUCCUCGGUUACCGCUGUAAACAAAGCACCUAUGAACACCUCAACAGGUGGAGCUUAAAGCGUUUCCUCGGUUACCGCUGUAAACAAAGCACCUAUGAACACCUCAACAGGUGGAGCUUAAAGUGUUUCCUCGGUUACCGCUGUAAACAAAGCAGCGCUGCACUUAUGAACUUUAAUAUGUAUUAUACAGAGGAAGAUGAAAAGAAAAAAUACCAUCUAAACUUUUCUAUAGACAGUAAGUUCUUCUCAGACAUACGUUAACACCUACCCCUAAAUGAAUGACUAUUUGUUUAGCAUCUCAACCGAUUUGAGUCGUCACACAUUUGAACGGAUUUUCAACCUGCUCACGGUUAAUCAUUACAUCCAUAUUUAUUAUUAUACAUAUUAGCAUAUAAAAAAAAUUGUGUACAAAAUAUACAAAACAACCCACCAAACCUUGCAUACAAAUACAGCACAACAAAUAAACCAAGCUCAAUACAAUUUUAUAGGAAAAAGAAAACACCAACAAAACUAUAUUUGUUAACAUUUAUGCAUUUAGCAUUCACUUUUAUCCAAAGCGACUUACAGUACAAAACAUAUGUAUAAAUGAUAUGUAAUUUAUACAGAAACGAGCUGGCAGUGUCACUCGAAUCAUUUUAGUUUUUAGCUAAAUGUUUCCAGAUCUUGUCAAAAGUCUGAAGCUAAUUCUUUGCUCUCAUGGUACUGCUCUACGGAUCCGAAUUUACCAAGAUUUUAUGUUUAAUUUCUUUUAUAUUUUCAGUUUUGGAAAAUAUUUCACUACCACAAAACAGUUCAACAGUGGCUCAACAUAUAUCGAGGAUGAACUCUGAAGUGAAAUGUCAUCUAGGAUGCAUAAUUGCUCUAAUAAAGCAAUGGGACUUAAACAUGCACUUAGUAGCAUGAACUUCCUGUUUUUACAUUCAGGCGUUCCUUGACCUCCUGUCCAAGGUGUCUGUAGGUCUUAAAAGUCUCAUUUCACCAUUUCACAAAUGAAGACCCUAAAUCAGAGCAGAAAGUCUUAAAUUGCUAAAGUUAUGGCAUUAAAUGUUGCACGCACCGCACUGCAAAUAAUGAACAUCAAACUCUAAACAUCCUUAAAUCAAGAUGCAAAAUGAGGAUAUGCAGUCUUAUGAUUUAAACAAGCAAAUAUCUGUCAGUGUGGAAUUCAAAUUAGUUUUACUUUUGAAUUAAGUUCAUUUUUUUUGGCAGGUAUUACUCUGUUUUUUAUAAUAAGCUCAUUUUGCAUAGAAUUGCACAGAAAUCAAGGCUUCGGGGGAAUAAUAAUAUUAUUUAAAAUGAAAGAACACAGUGUUCAAACCUUUGAAAUUAAAUCAGAAAUACAUAAAGUUGUUACAUAGAUGUUUGGUUGCAUAUUCGUGUACUUUCUUCUACACAUUGCAAGAAGAAGAAUGACUGAUAUUUGCUAGAUAAUGUCAUGGAGAAACAUCCUGACCUCGCUGUCAGUGUAACAGAAAUCAAAGACACAGUGUGAAGCAGCGUGUGAAAGGGUCGCAGUAAUGCUAAGGCCACAAGAAGCUUACGAAAGCUCUUCGUUCUGAUCAAUAAACACUCGCACACCCAUCUUUUUGCUGGCUUUAUCUCUCCAUCAUGUCCAAGUCAAGGUUUCUUCCAUGCUAGAGAGGGUUAGAGAGAGAACAAUGACUCUAAUGUUCACGUUUGACAGAGAGCGACGCUAGAUCACUUCUGAGAUCAGAUUGAGCUCAUCAGAAGUGUCCAGGCUUUAUGAAGCGCUCGCUCAGUGCUGUAAACGCAGCAGGUGAAGACGCCUGAUCUGUAGGUCACUCACGUGUUUCCUGGCGGAGGAGGAGGGGUUAAUCUCAUGGUGGGGCAGAAGUAGGACAGCGUUUGCUGGAAGGAAGUGUCCCGGCCCUGAGGUUCAUGUUCAUUCAGACGUCAGGAAAUCCUUGUCAGCAGCGGAAAAUAAAUAUGAAGGCUGAUCAGUCAUCUUUAUCUCAGACUUUGAGUUCCCUUGAAGGGGUGGGACGUCCAAAAUGAUGUCGGAUACUGUGGAGACCUUCAGAUUAGCAUUUUAAGAAACUGAUUUACAAAUCCAUUCAUUAAAAAGAACAAUUCAUUCAGGAUUCAGGAUUUAUUCAGUUUUCAGUAAGUUCGCUAACUAAAACUAUUUUUUAAAAAAAUUGUUGAUUGAAAUAAAGCUAAAAUAUUAAUAUAAGAUGACAAACUUAAUUUAAUGUAGUUCUUAAGGCAAGAUUUCAAUACAAGUUGAAUAAAAAAUAUAACAGUAUAUAAAUAAUAGUAAGCCCUAAAUAGUAAUCAUUUGAACAAAAUUUUUAAAAUUAAAAUGAAAACUGAAAAUAUAUGUAAAACUUUUCCUGUUUUUAGCUGGCUUUGUUUACUAAAACUAUUAAAUUAGAUUAAACACUUAAUUAUUAUUAGUUGUCAACAUUUCUAAUUUUCAUUUAGUUUAAGCAUUAAAAUGACUAACUGUAAAUAAUAAAAAAGAAAACUGAAAUAAAAAAUAAACCUAAAUAGUAAUUAUUAAGAAUAAUUCAUUGUUUUUCUUUUAUUCAAAUAAAACUGGAAUAAAAUAUAAAUAUUAGAUGAAAGACUUGAGUUUACAAAUAAUGUCAAAAUCACAUAAAACAAGAUAAAAUCACUAAAAUUUAACUAAAAUUUAAAUGAAACUGAAAGUACAAAAAUAAAAGCUGUCGCAGUAUAUGAAUAGUAGUUCAAUAACAGCAGUGAGUGUUGAUGUGCUUGUCU